CUUUCUUUGCUGGCGACCGGCGCACGGGUGAGCAACACGUAUCCAACCUGCCCUUUACUCGGGGAUAGCCUUUCGAAAGAAAGAUUAAUACCCGAUAGUAUAAUGAUUCCGCAUGGUUUCAUUAUUAAAGGAUUCCGGUAAAGGAUGGGGAUGCGUUCCAUUAGGUUGUUGGUGAGGUAACGGCUCACCAAGCCUUCGGUGGAUAGGGGUUCUGAGAGGAAGGUCCCCCACAUUGGAACUGAGACACGGUCCAA
rnacentral:rRNA from 1 species